rnacentral:rRNA from 1 species
GUCGGGAAUCUUGGACAAUGGGGGAAACCCUGAUCCAGCCACGCCGCGUGGGUGAUGGAGGCCUUCGGGUCGUAAAGCCCUGUCGGAGGGGAAGAAACGGUUUAAGGAUAAUACCCUUGGAUCUUGACGGUACCCUCGGAGGAAGCACCGGCUAACUACGUGCCAGCAGCCGCGGUAAUACGUAGGGUGCUAGCGUUGCUCGGAAUUACUGGGCGUAAAGGACGUGUAGGCGGCCUUGCAAGCGGGAUGUGAAAACCCCAGGCUCAACCUGGGAAGUGCAUUCCGAACUGCUUGGCUUGAGUCCGAGAGAGGGCGGUGGAAUUCCCGGUGGAACGGUGAAAUGUGUAGAUAUCGGGAGGAACACCUGCGGCGAAGGCGGCCGCCUGGCUCGGUACUGACGCUAAAGCGUGAAAGCGUGGGUAGCAAACAGGAUUAGAAACCCCGGUAGUCC